rnacentral:lncRNA from 1 species
UCUGUCCACUCCACCGGUUGUUGCACAAAUUGGAUCAAUGGACUUUUAGUUGUACAGUGUUUGUGUGCUAUCGUACUAUUUCAUUUACUGUUAGAGUUAUUGUGUUUGAUUAUGUUAAGAUUAAGCCAGUAGUCAUUCUGUAUAUUUACAUGUAUAUUUUGCAGGGUCCACCAACAGCUCAUGGGUCACACUCCAUCACACUCCCCUAAACGCCACCAGGUCCUUCCAGGUGGAGUUUGAGGUCCGUAAAGCAGGUUACAGAUGGUUUCAGUCGAGGACACCUGAAACCGGUCUGAAACUGCUCAUCCACAUCAUGUCUGGCAUGUCCUCAAAAUGGUCGACUCUCUACAAAUAAAAGUGUUGGUACAAGCUAAGCCCUCGCCCACUGGUCCGAGCUUUGGCUACAGCACUUUCUUGUCUGUUGAUGCAGUGUGAUCUCUUUCCUCAGCACGAUUUAUCAAGUCUUUGAACGGACAGCUCAGGCCUUCCUAAGCCUCAGGUGUGGUCCAACAUGAGCAGUGUGACCUUGAUGCAGACAGAUGAUAGAAACCUGCUGGAGCCAGCCAUGAGAGAUGCAGCUAACAGGAAGAACAAAGAUAAAUCAGUGUGUUGAAAUGCAGUCGUUUACUGCGCCCAGCAAUGUGGAAAAACCUGUAUCACAAAACCACUAACAAAGUGUACCUUUUCUGAACACAUGGAAAGCACACCCACAAUCUCUCCAUCAUCACUGCAGUCGGUCUGCCCAAAGGAACCAUAUUUUCCACCCUGGGUGCCUCAGAUGUGUGGACACCUGCCCCCAAAACUCUCCAAAGUUGUGAGCUAAAGGUUCAAUCCUUCUGCUCUGAUUGUGAUUUCCUCCUUUACUGACUCUAACAGAAGCAUUUACUCCAUAGUAUCAGUCCAAAGCAUUAAAAUGUGCAUUUUGUGUCUCUUAAUGAUAAUUUCUUUUAAGUUGUUUGCCAGUAAUAGUCUUUAGUUUUGAUAUUUUUCCAUAUCCUUGCCAAUAAACAACUUCUAUGUUUACUUUUACAUUGAGAAUGUAUGAGAAGGGCUUUAAAUUACUAAAAUAAAGUUUUAAAAAAUGACUCAGGUUAUUUCAUCCCUAAUUUUCAUCCAUAACAACUAGCAUCGAUGUUGAAAUUCUCUCGAAA